rnacentral:sRNA from 1 species
CGCGAAACAUGGCGGGGCAGGACGCUGGCUGCGGCCGUGGCGGCGACGACUACUCAGAGGACGAGGGCGACAGCAGCGUGUUCAGGGCGGCUGUGGAGGUGUUCGGGAAGCUGAAGGACCUAAACUGCCCCUUCCUCGAGGGUCUGUAUAUCACAGAGCCAAAGACAAUUCAGGAACUGCUGUGCAGCCCCUCAAAGUACCGCUUGGAGAUCCUAGAGUGGAUGUGUACCCGGGUCUGGCCCUCACUGCAGGACAGGUUCAGCUCACUGAAAGGGGUCCCAACAGAGGUGAAGAUCCAAGAAAUGACGAAGCUGGGCCAUGAGCUGAUGCUGUGUGCGCCAGAUGACCAGGAGCUCCUCAAGGGCUGUGCCUGCGCCCAGAAGCAGCUACACUUCAUGGACCAGUUGCUCGAUGCCAUCCGGAGCCUGACUAUUGGGUGCUCCAGUUGCUCGAGGGAGAAGAAUGAGGCCUUGCUGGGGGAGCUCUUCUCUAGCCCCCACCUGCAGAUGCUCCUGAAUCCAGAGUGCGACCCGUGGCCCCUGGACAUGCAGCCCCUCCUCAACAAGCAGAGUGAUGACUGGCAGUG